ACUCUCCCUCAGUAGGUUUACUGCAAUUCCUAUAAAUUAUCCAAGUAUUUCAAUAUUUAUUAUAGAAAUAUUUUACAAAUACUUUGUGUAUUAAAAAUAAAAUAACCAAAAUCCCUUGCUCAAUCAUCCAGUGUUUGUAAAAUAACCACCCUCUGCAGAAUUCCUUUACAUAAGUAACACUGGGAGGAAAAAGAGAGUGGUCAUGGAAAAAGAUUUAGCCAUAUUCAUUUAUAGGUAGCUGGGCAAAUACUUUGAAGGAUGGCUUGAUCUCUUCAUGUCAGACCCCAAGCACUCAUCCAGCAUCACAGGAGAAGAGCUCUCAGCUGAUGUGUGGUUGCUGUGCCAGCUUUCUGAUACCCCUAAAAGAGAUGAGGAUGCCAGAAAAUUCAAAGAAAAUUAUGGUGGUAGCAGAUUUUACUUCAGCAGCCCUUGCUCAUCCAAGAACCACAUGAAACUGCUGCUGUGAAUAAGAAUAUGAAAAAGAUGGUGUUUAAAUCCUGGGGAUUGUUCAUGGCACUCUAGGGACAAAGACUCAAUAUUCAGGUUUGUCCCAAGAGGCUUCUAGAUUUCAAGCAGCAACAAUGCUACAUUAAGACUCUAAUCUAUGUGAAAAGUGACCUGAGAAAGUACUAAAGAUAACAAA